GGUGGCUCAGUGACAGAGCGCUUGCCUUGUAUGCAUGAGGCCCUGGGUUCAAUUCCUCAGCACCA
rnacentral:tRNA from 1 species